UGGGGGGGCGGGCAUGCUUACACAUGCAGUCGAACGGUAACAGGGAGCUUGCUCCGCUGACGAGUGGCGAACGGGUGAGUAAUGCGUCGGAACGUGCCGAGUAGUGGGGGAUAACGCAGCGAAAGUUGUGCUAAUACCGCAUACGUACUGAGGUAGAAAGUGGGGGACCUUCGGGCCUCACGCUAUUCGAGCGGCCGACGUCUGAUUAGCUAGUAGGUGAGGUAAGAGCUCACCUAGGCGACGAUCAGUAGCGGGUCUGAGAGGAUGAUCCGCCACACUGGGACUGAGACACGGCCCAGACUCCUACGGGAGGCAGCAGUGGGGAAUUUUGGACAAUGGGCGAAAGCCUGAUCCAGCCAUGCCGCGUGUCUGAAGAAGGCCUUCGGGUUGUAAAGGACUUUUGUCGGGGAGGAAAUCCCCAGCGCUAAUACCGCUGGGGGAUGACAGUACCUGAAGAAUAAGCACCGGCUAACUACGUGCCCCCCCCCCCCCGAUAUA
rnacentral:rRNA from 1 species